rnacentral:rRNA from 1 species
GACGAACGCUGGCGGCGUGCUUAACACAUGCAAGUCGAACGGUGAAGCGCCUUCCUUUUUGGUGGGUGUGGAUGAGUGGCGAACGGGUGAGUAACACGUGAGUAACCUGCCCCCUUCUUCUGGAUAACCGCAUGAAAGUGUGGCUAAUACGGGAUAUUCUGGGUCUGUCGCAUGAUGGGUCUGGGAAAGAUAUUGUUUCGGUGGGGGAUGGGCUCGCGGCCUAUCAGCUUGUUGGUGGGGUGAUGGCCUACCAAGGCGGUGACGGGUAGCCGGCCUGAGAGGGUGGACGGUCACACUGGGACUGAGACACGGCCCAGACUCCUACGGGAGGCAGCAGUGGGGAAUAUUGCACAAUGGGCGCAAGCCUGAUGCAGCGACGCCGCGUGAGGGAUGGAGGCCUUCGGGUUGUGAACCUCUUUCGCCAGUGAAGCAGUCCUGCCUCGUUUGUGGGUGGGUUGACGGUAGCUGGAUAAGAAGCGCCGGCUAACUACGUG